rnacentral:rRNA from 1 species
UACGGGGGGGGGCAAGCGUUGUUCGGAAUUACUGGGCGUAAAGGGCUCGUAGGUGGCCAACUAAGUCAGACGUGAAAUCCCUCGGCUUAACCGGGGGAACUGCGUCUGAUACUGGAUGGCUUGAGUUUGGGAGAGGGACGCGGAAUUCCAGGUGUAGCGGUGAAAUGCGUAGAUAUCUGGAGGAACACCGGUGGCGAAGGCGGCGUCCUGGACCAACACUGACACUGAGGAGCGAAAGCCAGGGGAGCAAACGGG